CCUCGGCGCCGCUCAUUUUCAGAGAAAUAAAAGAAAUUUAACUAAGAGAAUGAUUAAAACUCUUACCAGAGUGUGUCCGGUGCCGGAAAAACUUGAAGAAACGAGAGAAUUUUGAAUUUGCUAGCAAAGUGCUGAAAAUGACAUAAGGGAGCAACUGACUGACCCUCUCCCUAUUUAUACCCGUUUGAUCAUUCAAUACUCACAGAAUCCCAAGCAAAGCAUCGGUUAGCAGAAUCCGCCCGCUUUCCUGAUACGUCGCAGGAAAGUUCCAGAAACAUAAUAAAUAAAAUAAAAUGAGAUUG
rnacentral:misc_RNA from 1 species